rnacentral:tRNA from 1 species
GUGGGUGUGGCCUAAAGGCAAGGCACCUGGUUGUGGCCCAGGCGAUUGUGGGUUCGAAUCCCACCACUCACC